rnacentral:misc_RNA from 1 species
AAGUCGUAACAAGGUUUCCGUAGGUGAACCUGCGGAAGGAUCAUUACCAAAUGAUACCCACUCUACGUACUGUGAACUGUACUGACAAAAGCUGUUGGCAGGGCAACCUGUCGACAGCAGCCUAUAUACAGCCAACGUCUGUGCUACUGUAGCUGAUGUAUACAAGUUUUUUAAACUUUACACAACUUUUAGCAACGGAUCUCUUGGCUCUC